ACAGUCACACGUAGUUUGAUCAUGGCUCAAGACGAACGCUGGCGGCAUGCCUAACACAUGCAAGUCGAACGAGACCUUCGGGUCUAGUGGCGCACGGGUGCGUAACGCGUGGGAAUCUGCCCUUCGGUUCGGAAAUAACUCAGGGAAACUUGAGCUAAUACCGGAUAAUGACGUAAGUCCAAAGAUUUAUCGCCGAAGGAUGAGCCCGCGUAGGAUUAGCUUGUUGGUGGGUAAUGGCCCACCAAGGCGACGAUCCUUAGCUGGUCUGAGAGGAUGAUCAGCCACACUGGGACUGAGACACGGCCCAGACUCCGUACGGGAGGCAGCAGUGGGGAAUAUUGGACAAUGGGCGAAAGCCUGAUCCAGCAAUGCCGCGUGAGUGAUGAAGGCCUUCGGGUUGUAAAGCUCUGUCGGGAGGGACGAAGUUCUGACGGUACCUCCCAAGAAAGCGCCGGCUAACUCCGUG
rnacentral:rRNA from 1 species